AUUGAACGCUGGCGGCAGGCCUAACACAUGCAAGUCGAACGGUAGCACAGAGAGCUUGCUCUCGGGUGACGAGUGGCGGACGGGUGAGUAACGUCUGGGAAACUGCCCGAUGGAGGGGGAUAACUACUGGAAACGGUAGCUAAUACCGCAUAACGUCGCAAGACCAAAGUGGGGGAACUUCGGGCCUCACACCAUCGGAAGUGCCCAGAUGGGAUUAGCUAGUAGGUGGGGUAAUGGCUCACCUAGGCGACGAUCCCUAGCGGGUCUGAGAGGAUGACCAGCCACACUGGAACUGAGACACGGUCCAGACUCCUACGGGAGGCAGCAGUGGGGAAUAUUGCACAAUGGGCGCAAGCCUGAUGCAGCCAUGCCGCGUGUAUGAAGAAGGCCUUCGGGUUGUAAAGUACUUUCAGCGGGGAGGAAGGCGGUGAAGUUAAUAACUUCACCGAUUGACGUUACCCGCAGAAGAAGCACCGGCUAACUCCGUGCCAGCAGCCGCCGUAA
rnacentral:rRNA from 1 species